UCAAUGGCAAUGAAGAAGCGUAACCUUUGUGGAUUCCGAAGAGAGCCGGUGGGUGGUGCGAACCGGUGAUGACAUGCAGGCGAAUGGGCUUCCGAGCUUCCAAACCGAAACGUCCGGAGUAGGCUUUGGCGAAUGCCUUAUCGUUACAAAAGGCAGGUAUACGGUUUUUCCCUGAUACCGUCAAAGCCGGGCUGAUCAAGCCAAUAAAGGUGGCACCGCGGGUUUCCCGUCCUUUAC
rnacentral:ncRNA from 1 species